GGAACGGGGAAGUCAUGCUGGUUGUUUACUAGCUCAUAUGAAUUGAUAUGCGUAUCCAAUGAUGGAUUAUACUACAAUGUCUAGGAUUCACAUAUUCCUAGAUUUCUCUUCUAGUGCCACGUCUAGGGGCCUAGCUUACUUUAGGAGUGCCAAUAUGAUUGUAUUUGCCUAUAUGAUUGUAUUUGCCUAUAUUCUGGAGCACUCAAUGCUAUUCUUUUUCCGACAUUCGAAAGGGCGAACUCAACUAGUAGUGAAGUGUUAGGUUACUCUCCUAUAUAGUUGAAGUUAUAGAUUAGUUAAGUUAUAGGCUAGUUAAGUUAUUGACUAGUUGAAGUUAUAGAUUAGUUAAGUUAUAGGCUAGUUAAGUUAUUGACUAGUGAAAGUGUUAGGUUACUCUCUAGAAUAUUUAUUGACUAGUGAAAGUGUUAGGUUAUUCUCUCUAAUAUUAGUUGUCUAGUUGUCUAUGAGGUUCCUCAAUUUCAUGAUUUUGCUUGUUUGUUUUUGGGUGCUUUAGAUAAGUAGUCAUAUGUAAGUUCUUUGAUAAGAGGUAUGGGUUUACUUUCUUUCUUUGAUUCUUUGUUUACUGAGCACUGGCUUACGUGAGUGACGACGUUGCGCUCGAAGUCAAGCCCCUUACCCAUAUUGCAAGUCUAAAGUGGAGUAGCCUGUUGAGUAUCUGGUUGUUCAACCCCGGGUAAAGAAGCAAUGCCGUGAGUUUAGAGUAAACAGUGAGUUUCGCUGUAAGCUGUUGGUUACUUUCUUCCAUUAGUGGUGCAAUAGAGAUUCCAUUAAAGGUUCACUGAGCACUGGCCCAACUGUCCCUACUGAUUGAUAAGUUAAUGCUUGACUUUGUAGCCUGUUGAUUGACUUUGUAGCCUGUUGAGUAUAGAAAAGAAAGGGUGCCUAUGCAUUUGUGCUUUAAGUGGGCUCUGCUCCGCCUUUGUCCUGUUCCUUGGCUGAACCCUAUGCCUUUGUUCGUAGGCCUUUGUCCUUUAAGUAGUAAGUAGCUCUGCCUUUGUCCUCAAUAGCAGAUAGGGUUCGGCACUGAACCAACAUAAGAGAAUUGAGCGUUCCACUGAUAGUAUAGCAGUAACCCUCACACUGCUGACAGCAUUGCUUUCUUACUCACUUAUUACUCUCGGGAACCCCUGAAUCUAUUUCUUUUCUUUCUUGGAUUUUGCGAGAGUGCACAACGGAUAGUAACAAGACUGCGAAACUAAUUUCACUGAACAGAAAAGAAUCUAGCUGAACUUAUAUUGAGGAGAAGAACGUAAACAACACUUCAUUGCUUUCCUUUGGCUUCCUUUCUUCCAAAGCUAAUGUUAGUACUUAGGCUUGCUUUAGAUCUCCCUGCUUCUUGUUCUAGCAAACUCACUAAUGCAAAAGUCAUGCAAAAGAAGAUAAUGGAAUUCACCCUAAAAGUACUAAGGUAAAGAGUGGAAAUGAUAGAUGACAUAAGCAGAGGAAAGAGCUGGAUCAGUGUUAUUAUAGCAUUUGAGUAAGUUGAGUAUAGGAAAGGUGCUUGGCCUUCUUCAUCACAUUGUGGUCCAAAGACAAAGGUCUCUGUUAAGGGAGUUAGUCGCGGAUGAAAACGAAGUAUUUGUAAGGGUGUUAAGGGAGUUGCCUCAGUAUUUGCAAGGGUGUUAAGAGAGUAGC
rnacentral:lncRNA from 1 species